rnacentral:rRNA from 1 species
UACGUAGGGGGCAAGCGUUGUCCGGAACCAUUGGGCGUAAAGCGUGCGCAGGCGGUGAUGUAAGACAGGUGUGAAAUCCCCGGGCUUAACCUGGGAACUGCAUUUGUGACUGCAUCGCUGGAGUGCGGCAGAGGGGGAUGGAAUUCCGCGUGUAGCAGUGAAAUGCGUAGAUAUGCGGAGGAACACCGAUGGCGAAGGCAAUCCCCUGGGCCUGCACUGACGCUCAUGCACGAAAGCGUGGGGAGCAAACAGG